UCAUUGUAUCGCCAAAUACUGAGAAGCCUUAACUCUCCAAAGUUACCACUUAAUUUAGCUGCAAGAAUGGCUAAGAAGGCAGAGAAUACUCUCUUUCCCUUUUAAGAAAAGGUGAAAUCCCUAAGCACAUUCAAUGAGCCAACUGAUUUACUUCUCAGAAUAGUGUUUUCAAAUCUUUCUCUCCUUUUUCUAUUUGAGUUCAUUCCUGAAGUGUCAGUUGUAAUGGAUAUUAUUCUUUUGGUACUGGACCUAAAAUGGAGUGGUGGUCUUUUAUCUUUCAUAGAAUAUUAUUCACUAUGAGGUGAAUUUGUUCAAAAGGUUGCAUGUAGUGAGUUGCCAAUGUGGGCCAUCUGUUAAUGUCAUUUAGUUUCUUUGGAUUACUGUUGAUUGUGUUAGUGUUUGAUAGGAAUGCAAACUUACUGUUAGAUAUCAUUUCAUAUUGUACCAAAACCCAUCUGUAUUUUUACUCCCAUUAAAAAUAAUAAACGUAGCAUA